GACGCGGGGCGGGCCGCGGGCCGCGGGCUGCAGGACGGCGGGCGCUGGGUUCGGCCUGGCUGGGCCAGCGGCUCCUAACACCGGACGGGCGGCUGCGGCGGCACUUCCGGGUUGGCCUUCUCCAUGUUGGUCUCGGGAACGUGAAGGGGCGGGGCCUCGAGGUCAGGGGUCAGCGCCUCCCUGGUUGCCGUGGCGACUGGAGGCACGCGACGCGGGCGCGAUGGCGGGGACUCUAGGCCCGGGAUUUGAUGCUGCUUGGGCCUGGCCCAGUGGCGGGUCCUGGGGACGUGGCAGAGGCCGGCAGUUGACGAUGAAAUUAUUGGGAGUUUGUGAAUGAGAGUAUGGAACACCCGUGGGCCUGAGUAUUAGACUUGAAUUCUAAUCCUGGUUCUACAAACUAAGGAGUUAUAGACCUGGCAAGCCAUAUUCUGUCUGUGCCUCAGAGACCCCUUCCAAAUCCAGAAUUCUCAAAUUCCUUUUGUUAUAUUUACUGAGAAGCAGAGAUUAUUGCUAUUGGAAGAAGAUUUUGUGACUACUUUGGUAUUUGUCUUCAAAUUUCAGUUGUCUCAUCAUCAUGAGUCUUUCUGAAAUCUUCCAGAACGUUGCUGCUUCUACAGAUUUAGGUGCAGGUUAAUAAGGGCUAGAGAAUUUUGAUUAUUCCUGAAAGCAAUGAUUAGCAGAGUUCCAUAAACUUUUCAUCUUUGUACUUUGUAAACAUCUGCUAAUUUUUUUAUGUUCAGUUAAAAUCCAAGACGGGCAUUAUUUUUUAAACAAAGAAUGGGGGAUUCAAAUUAUAAUGUUUCU
rnacentral:lncRNA from 1 species